rnacentral:rRNA from 1 species
GUGAAGGAACUAGGCAAAAUGGUGCCGUAACUUCGGGAGAAGGCACGCUGACACGUAGGUGAAGUGAUUUACUCACGGAGCUGAAGUCAGCCGAAGAUACCAGCUGGCUGCAACUGUUUAUUAAAAACACAGCACUGUGCAAACACGAAAGUGGACGUAUACGGUGUGACGCCUGCCCGGUGCCGGAAGGUUAAUUGAUGGGGUCAGCGCAAGCGAAGCUCCUGAUCGAAGCCCCGGUAAACGGCGGCCGUAACUAUAACGGUCCUAAGGUAGCGAAAUUCCUUGUCGGGUAAGUUCCGACCUGCACGAAUGGCGUAAUGAUGGCCAGGCUGUCUCCACCCGAGACUCAGUGAAAUUGAACUCGCUGUGAAGAUGCAGUGUACCCGCGGCAAGACGGAAAGACCCCGUGAACCUUUACUAUAGCUUGACACUGAACAUUGAGCCUUGAUGUGUAGGAUAGGUGGGAGGCUUUGAAGUGUGGACGCCAGUCUGCAUGGAGCCGACCUUGAAAUACCACCCUUUAAUGUUUGAUGUUCUAACGUGGACCCGUGAUCCGGGUUGCGGACAGUGUCUGGUGGGUAGUUUGACUGGGGCGGUCUCCUCCUAAAGAGUAACGGAGGAGCACGAAGGUUGGCUAAUCCUGGUCGGACAUCAGGAGGUUAGUGCAAUGGCAUAAGCCAGCUUGACUGCGAGCGUGACGGCGCGAGCAGGUGCGAAAGCAGGUCAUAGUGAUCCGGUGGUUCUGAAUGGAAGGGCCAUCGCUCAACGGAUAAAAGGUACUCCGGGGAUAACAGGCUGAUACCGCCCAAGAGUUCAUAUCGACGGCGGUGUUUGGCACCUCGAUGUCGGCUCAUCACAUCCUGGGGCUGAAGUAGGUCCCAAGGGUAUGGCUGUUCGCCAUUUAAAGUGGUACGCGAGCUGGGUUUAGAACGUCGUGAGACAGUUCGGUCCCUAUCUGCCGUGGGCGCUGGAGAACUGAGGGGGGCUGCUCCUAGUACGAGAGGACCGGAGUGGACGCAUCACUGGUGUUCGGGUUGUCAUGCCAAUGGCACUGCCCGGUAGCUAAAUGCGGAAGAGAUAAGUGCUGAAAGCAUCUAAGCACGAAACUUGCCCCGAGAUGAGUUCUCCCUGAGACUUUAGGUCUCCUGAAGGAACGUUGAAGACGACGACGUUGAUAGGCCGGGUGUGUAAGCGCAGCGAUGCGUUGAGCUAACCGGUACUAAUGAACCGUGAGGCUUAACCUU